rnacentral:rRNA from 1 species
GAUGAACGCUGGCGGCGUGCCUAAUACAUGCAAGUCGAGCGAACAGACGAGGAGCUUGCUCCUCUGACGUUAGCGGCGGACGGGUGAGUAACACGUGGAUAACCUACCUAUAAGACUGGGAUAACUUCGGGAAACCGGAGCUAAUACCGGAUAAUAUAUUGACCCGCAUGGUUCAAUAGUGAAAGACGGUUUUGCUGUCACUUAUAGAUGGAUCCGCGCCGCAUUAGCUAGUUGGUAAGGUAACGGCUUACCAAGGCAACGAUGCGUAGCCGACCUGAGAGGGUGAUCGGCCACACUGGAACUGAGACACGGUCCAGACUCCUACGGGAGGCAGCAGUAGGGAAUCUUCCGCAAUGGGCGAAAGCUUGACGGAGCAACGCCGCGUGAGUGAUGAAGGUCUUCGGAUCGUAAAACUCUGUUAUUAGGGAAGAACAAAUGUGUAAGUAACUAUGCACGUCUUGACGGUACCUAAUCAGAAAGCCACGGCUAACUACGUG